rnacentral:rRNA from 1 species
UACGUAGGGGGCUAGCGUUGCUCGGAAUUACUGGGCGUAAAGCGCACGUAGGCGGCUUCUUAAGUCGGUGGUGAAAUCCUGGAGCUCAACUCCAGAACUGCCUUUGAUACUGAGGAUCUUGAGUUCGGGAGAGGUGAGUGGAACUGCGAGUGUAGAGGUGAAAUUCGUAGAUAUUCGCAAGAACACCAGUGGCGAAGGCGGCUCACUGGACACGUAUUGACGCUGAGGUGCGAAAGCGUGGGGAGCAAACAGG